UCAUCUAUGCAGUAACAAAGUACUUCCUGGUGUUCACAGAGAACCUCCUGUAUUUCAAUUUCUGUUUGUUGCCUGUUUAUUGCCACUAGACACCAUGGAAAAGAGCCCAGAUCAAUCUUCUCUGUACCUUCUCUUCGGGUGUUUACAGGCAUUUACGCGCUUACCCCAGAACCUCUUCUGCAGGCUGAAUGAUUCCAGCUCUCUCAGCUUUUCCUCAUAGAAGAGAUGUUCCAGUCCUUUGAUCAUUUGGUGGCCCUAUUUUGGACCCUUCAUAGUAUAUCCAGCUUUCUCUUGUACUAAGAAGCCAAGAACUGGACACAGUACUCCAAGUGGUUCCUCAGCCACCCAAGUAGAAGUUUGCCUUAGGUGGCUCCUGCUGAGCAGAAGAAGAUAAGAGCAACCAACACUGUCACUUUAGGAAACAGCAGGGAAAAACCUCAGAAUUGUCCCAAACAAUCUCGAGAGGGCUCCUCUGAGAAGUCCUGCUGGAGUUCAAGAAGUGUCUGGACAAUGCACUCAAUCAUACCUCAGAUUUUUGUGUGGUCCUGUGUGGAACCAGAUGAGUGUCUGGCUAUCAUCUGAAAUGAGCAACUUCAUUCACUAAACAAAGGAAACCAAAACUCUGAUGUGUGAAAAAUUCUAGGAGCAGCAAGAAGUGUAACAGUCUUCUCUUUAAAGCCUGCUGCUAUUAUUAAGUAAUGUAAAACGAGAGACUGGAACUGUGUAAAGCGUGGAAAUCGUGUGACUUCUGCUUAUGUGAAAGGAGAUGGUAGACGGCAUAUCAUUCAUCUCUCCUGUCUCAUUCCUGUAAUGCUUCACUCCUGGGAGGAACACUUGAAAAAUCAAGAAGUACUUAAGGCACGGGUAAUCUCACAACAUCACUUAGUGCAAAUGAUUUUAAAGAUUUUGACAAAUGUUGACUAGAUAUUAUCAUCACCUUUUCUCUAUAAAAAAGAAAUUAUGGAAGAAGGAUGACAAUUCAUGCAUAUGCAAAUGAAAUAGUUCAGCCUAAGUAACUUGUGACAGAGCAGUGAUUCGGUAAAGGGGGCAGGAAGGCCUAGUUGCAUAAUGCUUUAAAAUGGAAGCUGGAAUGCCAAAACAUCCCCAUGUUAGACAGCAAAGAUUCCCUUCUGGUAAGAAAUAUAUCUUUUAACAGUCAUGGAAUGGGAGUCCUCGAGGAAUUACUUUUUGUACACAGAUUUUGGUAAGCAGAGCUGGCAUGGAGCAUUGAACAAAACAUAAGGCAUCUGAUGAAGCUUACGUGAUGGGUUCUGGUGCAAGUCUACAUAAAGGGUCUACUUCUAUUGCAUCCUUUCUGUCUUCUUCGAUCCACUUAUGAUUGUAAGACUCUGUCUAAUGCAUUGCUUAUUAUCUCUCUUCGUAUUGUGAGGACAAAAGUGUUUGAAAGUACCAUUGAUAAGGUAAAAAAAAUCCACCAGCACAAUAUAGGACUGACCGCUGAAGAAGUCCCUAGGCAUCGAUCUGCUUAGGGAAGGGUCUGUGGGAUGGCAGGAGAUCAUAGGGCUAGUGCAUCUCAAUAGCACACUGUCUUGAGGUUUCUGGCUGUAGUCACUGUCACUUCAAUCACCCAGAACAGAAAUGCUGCACAGGGAAUCUGCUUUCAUUACCUUGCUGUUCUUUUCUGUCCUCCCCAGAAGAGAUAAUACCAAGUAGGAGACUACAAGAGUUAACAGACAACUGGGGGAAGACUCUACCUACAAAUUGCAGGAUAGAUACAGCAAGUGAAAGUUCAUUCUCCAGUAUAACAAGAUGAAUCUUACUUGUGGGAUUCUGUUUUGCCAGCAGCUUUCACUGAACACAACAAAAAACAACAGCAUUUUAGUCAGGUUGAAGAGUUUCAGUACAAAUGAAGUACAAAUUCAAUCUACCUUUUUCAAACUACUUAUUGUCCUCAUGCAUUAAAUCCUUGCUAUGCUCACUGAAAUGUAUUUUGUGUAACAUUAUUUCUUGAAAAGCAUUACCAUUUAUUAACUACAUACAAACACGUAACACAUAGCCAGUACUUGAAUCUUGCUCCUCAAGGAUCAGCAGUUGGUGUUACAGAGCCCGAGGUUCCUUGAGACUUCUGCAGGGUGAUAUCAGAGUUCUGAGAACUUUAAAACUUCUGUAAGAACUCGGUUGUUGCUAUCAAGGUCAAUUUCCCUUCU